UACGGGGGGGGCAAGCGUUGUUCGGAAUUACUGGGCGUAAAGCGCGCGUAGGUGGUUUGUUAAGUUGGAUGUGAAAUCCCCGGGCUCAACCUGGGAACUGCAUUUGUGACUGCAAGGCUAGAGUACGGUAGAGGGGGAUGGAAUUCCGCGUGUAGCAGUGAAAUGCGUAGAUAUGCGGAGGAACACCGAUGGCGAAGGCAAUCCCCUGGACCUGUACUGACGCUCAUGCACGAAAGCGUGGGGAGCAAACAGG
rnacentral:rRNA from 1 species